UGGGGGAAUAUUGCACAAUGGGCGCAAGCCUGAUGCAGCGACGCCGCGUGGAUGAUGAAGGCCGGAAGGUUGUAAAGUCCUUUUGGGCGCAAAGAAUAAGUACGCGAGGAAAUGCGCGUGCGGUGACGGUAGCGCCUGAAUAAGCAACGGCUAAUUACGUGCCAGCAGCCGCGGUAACACGUAAGUUGCGAGCGUUGUUCGGAAUUAUUGGGCGUAAAAGGGCAAUGUAGGCGGUCGUGCAAGCUUGGUGUGAAAUCCCGGGGCUUAACUCCGGGACUGCGUUGAGAACUGCACGGCUAGAGUAACUGAGGGGCAGCCGGAAUUCCAGGUGUAGGGGUGAAAUCUGUAGAUAUCUGGAAGAACACCAAUGGCGAAGGCAGGCUGCCAGCAGAUUACUGACGCUGAGGUGCGAAGGUGCGGGGAGC
rnacentral:rRNA from 1 species